rnacentral:lncRNA from 1 species
GUGACAGACCGAAGAAACUUCCUGUCGAAACCAGGUUGGUGAACCAAUGAGUUUAAUUAGGAUUACUUGCAGGAACAUGGGCAGCUUAUGGAUGUCUAAACCACCAAAGAAUUCUCUCUUCCUGUGUAAUGUUAACAGCCUAUCUAUACCCAGGAAGGGGUGGGGCCUCAUGACCUCCUCCCCAUUCUCCAUGGUGAACCCAAUCUGGUGUGGGUCUCAUGUAGGUGAUCACAGCUACUGAGAGCUCAAGAGAGCAAAGGCCAGUAAGCCUUCACUUCUGCCAAGAUGAUGACUAUGGUAAUUUGGGUUUUGUGUACAUUGUAAUAUAAGGAGGUGCUUCCAUCCUGUGGAUUCCUGCUCAUCUCUGUUUCCUGCUCAUUCCUGCUCUCCUCUGCAUACAGAGGAGUAUCCCAGCUGGCAAAGUCUACAUGUGUCUACAUUCAUGUAUCUGCUUCCUGGAAGACACACCCACCUCCACUCCCAGUCAUCAGUCAUGAUGGGGUUUACAACCAAGUUUAUGAAAGAGAAGGCACCUUACAAUGCUAGAAGGAACAUAUUAAGUUGGCUACAGCUAUGAUUGAAGCACCCCUAAAAGUAUCAAAAUAUGUCAUUCAUGAAGACACAAGCUCUCCAGAGUCUUCACCUUUUAAAGUGCUAAAAAAGAAGUUCUGGACCCAAAACCAUCCAAGUUUUCAUCCAAUUCAGCUUCAAAGUAAAGAAUGAGGUCCUCAGUGUACCAGGAUGGAACCCAGAGCCUUGAAGAUGAUUGGCAAAUGCUCUAUCCAUGAGCUGUACCUGCAGCCCCACAUGUCAAGAUACAGAAUACCUUUGGGGAGUCCUAGAGGGUUUCUGCCCAGCCUAUCAGCCAAGCUCUGAGACUUCUUCCUUGACCAAAAGUUUGCAGAAGGCUGAGUCGCGUGUAUACACUGAGGCAAAAUAAAUAAAUAAAAUGGCAUUAGUAAACAAUCUUCCAAGUAGCCCUUUCACUUUGUAAGGGAGGAGCCCCUGUGACACGAUGAACACAUUAGGGAGGGGCAAGAAUGUGGAAUCCCCAGGCCAUCCUUUACCUGUGCUCAGCUGCCUACAGGUUGGUUUUAACACCCACGUGCAGAAGAGAGCUGUGUAAAAGGAGUCAACACAAUACAGAUCAAACAGUGCCAGCCCUGCCCUGUGGAAAGAGUGCAGAAUUAUCCCCAGGCAGGAUUUGCAUCUGUUUGUGUUGCCUGAUAUGGAGGAUUUGGAGCUGUAGGACUAUACCAGUGGGAAGUCCUGCCCUUCCCCUCUGCCAGGCCCUGCAGGGGGAGCACCCCAUUAGUUUGCUUCUCAGUG